rnacentral:misc_RNA from 1 species
GGAUGAGAGAAAAUUACCUGCACAGGUGCUGCUGUGGUCUGACCCUGUUUUCCAGCAGCUAAUGGUGUCAAAAUGAGAGGCUAAGGUUGGGUUCUUUUUAAUCUUUGCUUUAAAACAAAAAAAAAGAAAAAAAAGAAUAUAUUUGUUGCAUGCUUGAGGUGGUGCCUCCCAACGCCUGGCACCUCUCGCCUUUUGGCCCAAGGUGCUCACCUUUUCAAAUCCAGGGGCGCCUUAGUUAGGCAAGUCGCUACAAUGGCGCCUCGCCUCACCCUGCUUGGCGCCUUUCAGCCCCUUUAACAACACUAGCUGCGUGCCACACCCCACCCCCCCUCCCCUCCUUUUCUUCCCCACACACUCCCAAAUGAGACUCCUUUUGGGAUGGAAUCAGGUUUAGUCCAUUUUAUCAGCCAUAUCAAUACUUGGAACUGCCUAGAAGUUUUGUUUGACUAACUUUUUCUGUAGUGGUAUAGUAUGGACAUUUAUCAUUUCUCUGCUUGACAUUAAUUCAUUAAUUCAUUUUUGCCUUUUAUUUUCUUGUUUUAGGUUAUAGCAAAUGACCUUGAUGU